rnacentral:lncRNA from 1 species
CUGCUUGGGUCCAAGCUGGUGCACUUCUAGGCGAACUUUACUACAGAAUUUGGGAGAAAAGCAAAGUUCAUGCCUUCCCAGCUGGUGUUUGCCCAACUGUUGGUGUUGGUGGACACAUAACUGGAGGAGGAUACGGUAACCUGUUAAGAAAAUAUGGACUGUCAGUGGACAAUUUAGUUGAUGCACGCAUAGUGGAUGUUCACGGUAGAAUUCUUAACAGAGAAUCAAUGGGAGAAGACCUGUUUUGGGCGAUCAGAGGUGGGGGUGGUGCUAGCUUUGGAGUGAUAUCGGCCUACAAA